rnacentral:rRNA from 1 species
UACGGAGGAUGCGAGCGUUAUCCGGAUUUAUUGGGUUUAAAGGGUGCGUAGGCGGAUUUUUAAGUCAGCGGUAAAAUGUCCGGGCUCAACCCGGGCCGGCCGUUGAAACUGGGGAUCUUGAGUGGGCGAGAAGUAUGCGGAAUGCGUGGUGUAGCGGUGAAAUGCAUAGAUAUCACGCAGAACUCCGAUUGCGAAGGCAGCAUACCGGCGCCCGACUGACGCUGAGGCACGAAAGCGUGGGGAUCGGACAGG